GGGUCGGUAACUCAGCGGUAGAGUGUGGGAUUGCAGUGAUUCACGAAUAUCCUGAAGUCACCGGUUCGAUCCCGGUUCGGCCCU